rnacentral:misc_RNA from 1 species
GAUGAAGAACGCAGCGAAAUGCGAUAAGUAAUGCGAAUUGCAGAAUUCCAGUGAGUCAUCGAAUCUUUGAACGCACAUUGCGCCCUUUGGUAUUCCGAAGGGCAUGCCUGUUCGAGCGUCAUUAUCACCCCUCAAGCCCUCGGCUUGGUGUUGGACGGUUUGGUGGAGGCCCCCUCGGGGGCUCCUGCCCCUCCCAAAGACAAUGACGGCGGCCUCGUUGGACCCCCGGUACACUGAGUUCUUCACGGGACACGUAUCGGACACAUGGGUUUACGGGACACGGUCUGCCUCCCCUCAGCGAGAAUCUUUCUAAGGUUGACCUCGGAUCAGGUAGGGAUACCCGCUGAACUUAAGCAUAUCAAUAAGCGGAGGA